rnacentral:tRNA from 1 species
GGGGAUGUAGCUCAGCGGCAGAGCACUUGCAUAGCAUGUAUGAGGCCCUGGGUUCAAUCCCCAGUUCUA